rnacentral:rRNA from 1 species
GACGAACGCUGGCGGCGUGCUUGACACAUGCCAGUCGAACGGAAAGGCCUGCUUUCCCUUGUGGAUUGCGGGUACUCGAGUGGCGAACGGGUGAGUAACACGUGAGUGAUCUGCCCCCAACUUGGGUAUAAGCCUGGGAAACUGGGUCUAAUUCCCGAUAGGACUGCAGGGUGGUGCCUGUGGUGGAAAACGAUUUUCUAGUGGUUGGGGAUGAGCUCGCGGCCUAUCAGCUUGUUGGUGGGGUAAUGGCCUACCAAGGCGGCGACGGGUAGCCGGCCUGGGAGGGUGGACGGCCACAUUGGGACUGAGAUACGGCCCAGACUCCUACGGGAGGCAGCAGUGGGGAAUAUUGCACAAUGGGCGGAAGCCUGAUGCAGCGACGCCGCGUGGGGGAUGACGGCCUUCGGGUUGUAAACUCCUUUCGACCGCGAGGAAGCCACCUGGUUGGAAGGGUGGUGACGGUAGUGGUAGAAGAAGCACCGGCUAACUACGUG